UACGAGGUCUCCACUCGAGAGUGUAGAGAGAGAGUGUCUUCGGCUACUUCUUCUGUUGUUGAGAGCUCUAGGGUUUGAACGAUUUCCAGAAAUUCUUCUUCCAUUUUAAAGAUGAAAUAAAAAAUCUCAGAUUCACCAUUCCAAGUGUUCAAACCGGUUUCGUUGUUAUCGAAAUGGCCACCGGUAAGCAGAAAUGGAUUGAAACACAGCAAUAGAUAAAGAAGAAGGUCAAGUAUGGCGAUUCCGAAGGAUUCAGUAAUUCUCUUCCUCAUCUUUCCCAUGAUAUUGUUAUUUAUGAUAUUUUAACAAGAGUUCCUGUUGAUAGUUUAAUGAGAUUCAGAUGUAUAUGCAAAUCAUGGUCUAAUUUAAUUGUCAAUGAUUCGAAAUUUAUCGGUUUACAUUUAAGCAGAAGUUAUAGUGAUCGUGGAUUUAUUUGGCUUUUUCAUAGUGAUAAUAAUCUUGACAGAGAUAAUGAUUCUUAUUUUAUGAGAUCUAAUGGUGUUGUUUUCUAUGAUAUUGAUAAGAAAGAAAAGAAGGUUUUUCAUUUUAGACCUGAAACUGGUUUGGUAAACAAUAGACUUUUCAUUCGAGAUUCUCUUAAUGGUUUACUACUUUUAUCUUAUGUAGAAGAUGGACUUGUUACUAAUCAUGUUUAUAAUCCAAUCACUGGUUAUUCAAUUAACCUUUCUAUUCUUCAAGAUAUUGCUUGUCUAAGGAAUUAUUAUGAGUUCCUUCCGCAGUUGGCUUAUGAUUCAAUCAUGAAAAAGUACAAGGUUUUUUGUAUUUAUUAUUAUACUGGACGGUUUCAGAUACUGAACGGCCAGUACUUUUUCAAGAUUCUUACUCUAGGUACUGAAAGUGAACCAUGGAGAGAUGUGGUUGUUUCGGAAUUGUAUCCUCGUUUACGGCAUGAUGACCUUCAACCGAGGUUUGCUAGUGGGUCUUUCUAUUGGUUGACCCAUGAUAGGUUUGAGAGUUAUUCAAGCGAUGGUUAGAGAAAAAUACUUGCUUUCGAUGUUAGUAGAGAAACAUUCUACACAAUAAGAUAUCCAAAGAGAGCUUUGAAUGAUUCUAAUCUACUUGAGAUCGAUGGAGCAGUCUAUUUCCUUGAUUAUGUGUCCGCGGGGAAGCUGAAGUUAUGGGUUUUGAAGGAGGAUAAGGAGAAGAAGAAUAAUCAACAUCGAGAAUAUGAAUGGGUAGAGAAAUACAAUGUUGAUGAUGCGCCUAGUUUAAGUGGUGUGGAGCGACCCUCAUCCAUCUUUGGUUACCAACCGGUCCCAUCUGCUCGUUAUUAUGCAAUUGUUACAACUCCUACAGUUAAAAUCAUAUUUAGGGCCUGCCAUAUACCUGAUGAGGCACACAGGGAGGGCUUGAAGGAGUUUUGUAGUUACGAUAUUCAGUUAAGAAGGUCAGCUUCCAUCUUUAAGAUUAGGGGUACACCUUACCAGUGGCAUCUCAACUGCCUAGCCAACUUCUAAUCAAACUAUGCUGGUGUGUCUGCUCUAGGCUCAAAACAAAGUUUCUACAACAGUUACAUACGAUAAGCAGUGAUGCACAGAUUGAACAUGUGUAAAUUGUAUAGACGCUGUGAACUAAAUUAGCAGAAGAGUGAAUACCUAGCUGAACUUGUGAAGGUACCAGCAAAGCUAAGGCGUGUGGACAAUAUUUUCACAAAUUUAUCAUUUUUGAUGCCAGAAUGCAUAUACAGAACAAUGUAGGAUCACAUUCUGCUUGGAUUUCAUGUGUUUUUCAUGCUAGUAAAGGCAAUUACACGCUUUCUUUGUUUGAGUUUUAUUUGCCUCAAGGAGUAUUUGUACCAUCUAAUAUCUAAAAUUAGCUUUGCCUUGGGAAAUAAAGGAUUUCUUGUUUAGGAUUUCAACUUUCAAUCUUUUGAGCCACAUAGUAGCUUCGUAGACUACGAUUUGUUUUCAUGUGGGUUGGAAUCCAUGUGGAGAACAUGAGAAUGCCCCUGUAGUUAUGUGAACAUACAUAUUUGUAUAGUACAUUCAUUAACCAAGAAGUAAAUUCAUGAGCGACUCCCCCCUCCUUUCUCAA